rnacentral:rRNA from 1 species
GGCUUAUGGAGGGGGAUAACCAUUGGAAACGGUGGCUAAUACCGCAUGAUGUCGCAAGACCAAAGUGGGGGACCUUARGGCCUCACGCCAUGAGAUGAACCCAGAUGAGAUUAGCUAGUAGGUGCGGUAAUGGCGUACCUAGGCGACGAUCUCUAGCUGGUCUGAGAGGAUGACCAGCCACACUGGAACUGAGAGACGGUCCAGACUCCUACGGGAGGCAGCAGUGGGGAAUAUUGCACAAUGGGCGGAAGCCUGAUGCAGCCAUGCCGCGUGUGUGAAGAAGGCCUUAGGGUUGUAAAGCACUUUCAGCGGGGA